CCUUUUAGGAAGAAACAGUAUUUUUGGUUUAGGAUCAGGUAAUCUGCAUCCUGAGGUUUAGAAACAAUAUUUUUAUUGGAUCUAAUCCUUGGGAUGUCGAUUAUCACUUCCUUUUGUUAUGACCAAUUUAUCGAUCACUUAAAUCACCAGUUCAAUAAAAUCAACGUCUAUGAGAUGUGGAUUUUGUUGAAACUCUGUCUAGAUUUUGUAUAACGGUUGAAGCAUUUCUGAAGUGGAUUAUCACUAGUGUUUGUUGUAUUUGAUUGCAUUAUUGGAGUUCCUUACGGGACAGCUGGUGCUCCUUGAGGCAUUUCUGCAGAUCCAAUGAGAGAUUGUAGCGUAUAUGUGCCAUGAAGCACUGCAUGCUACAGGUAAAAAUGCACUGUGAGUUUUAUGUGGUGAGAGAGGUCUUCACAUCAUUACAAUCUCAAUUUUGGUUCACAACUCUUUUCUAAGAAUAUAUUUUUGGUGUCUAAUUGCUAGAAAUAAUUCUUUUUCAGAGCUUGUCUACUGGAAUAACGUUAUAUCUCAAGUACAAAAGUUCUCAAAAACAUUUCUAUAGUUUGUAGCUAAACAAAAACUAUAUAUAUAUAUAUUGGAGACCAAUCUAAUGAAAAUAAUUUUUACAAGAGAAUUAAGAAUGAAACAGAUACAUGAAAUUGCACUGGAGUUUGCACUUGUGAAACUGCAGUCUUACAAAUCGGUAGACACUAGGUAGUGAGCAGAUACUAUAGCCAUAAAUAAUGGAGAAGCACCGUUUUGGUUGUUUAUGUCUGCUACUUUUCCAACAUUUUCAGAAAGACUGAACAUGUUGGUUAAUUGGGAAUAACGAGAGGUUCUUGUACAGCAACUAAAAAUAUUUUGUAAUUUAUGAAUUGCAAUUUCUGGCUUUGUUGCAGCACUCAAAUGGCUUCUUCCCUUCCGCCUGUGAAGUAUUUUGCAUCUUUGAAGACCAGAAACUUCAUCAUCUCCACACCACAAAAAUAUGAAACUUCCACGAAAAUGUGUAAAGAAAAUGAUGCUUUGAAAACUGUUAGAGUGUAUACACUUUUGAUGUGAUGAAGUUAUAAAUAAAUAUAUAUAAUAAAGAAUAAAUUUGUAAAAUAAUGAAAAGGUUUGGCUAAUG
rnacentral:lncRNA from 1 species